rnacentral:misc_RNA from 1 species
CUCGAUAAUGAUGUCAGAAGUCUCUUCAGAAGAGCAAUCUCUACAGCAGAAUUUCUCCUUCAUGGUUCGGUGGGUAGCCGACCGCCCUAACCCCCAUCGUUUGCAUCUAUCAUUUACACAAAUGCCUCUACCAACUCACGCCAAAGCUAUCUCACUCAACGACACACGGAAUAAUCCAACAACGUUGAGUUUUCCGAUCCAAAGUGAAUCGUCUUCGUCACAGAUUUUGCCUUCC